GGCGGCAGAUGGCCCAGCAGCCGCUAAACCGUUCCUAAACCGUGUGUCGCAGGUUCGAAUCCUGCCGGGG
rnacentral:tRNA from 1 species